GCGUCAAAUAGUAAUGGAGAUAUUUUAGGAGAGAUGGGAACAGUGCAUGAAGAUCCACACAAAGGUGCCUUAUUUGAGCAGUGAUUUAAUCGUCACUAGGCUGCCCACCGGCAUUGGUUUUAAGCACCCAGAGAUGUAUACAGAGAAAGAACUGCAUAAAAUAAUAUCUGUUGAAAAAAAUCAGAUACAAAUGUCUAUAGCAAUGAAAACAAAAGAUUUUGAAGGUAUUUUUAACACCAUGGAAAAUUUGAAACUUAUUUCAAGAACAAAUAGGAGCCGCAUAUUAAUCGAAG